GACGAACGCUGGCGGCGUGCUUAACACAUGCAAGUCGAACGGAAAGGCCCUGCUUUUGUGGGGUGCUCGAGUGGCGAACGGGUGAGUAACACGUGAGUAACCUGCCCUUGACUUUGGGAUAACUUCAGGAAACUGGGGCUAAUACCGGAUAGGAGCUCCUGCUGCAUGGUGGGGGUUGGAAAGUUUCGGCGGUUGGGGAUGGACUCGCGGCUUAUCAGCUUGUUGGUGGGGUAGUGGCUUACCAAGGCUUUGACGGGUAGCCGGCCUGAGAGGGUGACCGGCCACAUCGGGACUGAGAUACGGCCCAGACUCCUACGGGAGGCAGCAGUGGGGAAUACUGCACAAUGGGCGGAAGCCUGAUGCAGCAACGCCGCGUGCGGGAUGACGGCCUUCGGGUUGUAAACCGCUUUCGCCUGUGACGAAGCGUGAGUGACGGUAAUGGGUAAAGAAGCACCGGCUAACUACGUG
rnacentral:rRNA from 1 species